AGAACAGUCCAAAAACAGAUGCUAAAGCCCCCUACACAGAGCCUCAGUGCUUCGAUCUGAUAGACAACAGGUAGGUGGCCAGUCCCCACUGGAGAGCAACCGAGCAGGGCCAAGAGGUUCAAGGUGGGUUUGUGUGGAGGGUGUGGUAGAUAACCCUCCUAAACCCUCAGCAGUGUCCUGAGAAAAGAACCGACCCACAGAACAGUACAAGGCAUUUUAAUCCACGGAAAUACUUAAUAUGAGCAACAUAGCUUUGUUUUUCUGAGACACAAACUAAUUUAUUUCGGGCCUCAGGCUUAGUAGCGUACAAGUGACAACCUGCAGGUCUGCUGCAUGUGUGUGGAUCCGUAGUGCUAAUGAGAUUGUAGACAUGGUGGAUUUCUCUUGCAGCUUUUCUGCUGUGUUGAAAUUGUCUGCCAGUAACUCUCUCCUCUUCCUGAGCUGGGCCUGUGAUCUGGGCAAACGUGUACUAAUUAGAGGAGAGGCCAGAAUGCUCAAACUCCUUAAAGAGAUGCUCAGAGUUGCUGACAUGUAAUGGUGCUAUCUGAGUUCACUGCUUCUUUCUUCUUCUGUUCUGUCUGCUUGAAUUAUCCACUCUUCUCCCCACAGCAAGGAAAGCUGUGCUGAAAAUCAGAACAGUGGCUUCCAGUCUUUCUUCUAUGGCUUGGGCAAUUUAAAUACCCUGAGCCUAUUUUUUUCAGUGUCUGUGUUCCACCUGUGUGCCUGAAGAAGUGUGACGAGACUGUUGGAUACCCUGGGACUUGUGAGCCACCAUGUGAGUUCUAGAAACUGAACCUGGCUCUUCUAUUAGCCACCUCUCUAACUUCCAUAGGAAUGCACACAGCUGCAACAGACAUACCUUUCUUUCUUUCUUUUUUUUUUUGAGUCAGGGUCUCAUUAUAUUCCUCGCUUGGCCUGUAACUUGCUAUAUAGACCAAGAACACUAGUUUCUAAAUUUUACUUAUUAUAAGUUUGUGUUUGUGUCCGAGUCUGUGUGUGUGGUUUCGAGUGAGUACGUGCCAUGGCAUACAUUUGGAAGGUAGGCCACUUGCUAGGAAUUGAACUCAGAAUGGGAGGCACUAGUCUUUGUCGAUCUGGCACAAACUAGAGACUCCUGGGAAGAGGGAU
rnacentral:lncRNA from 1 species